AAAGUCGUAACAAGGUUUCCGUAGGUGAACCUGCGGAAGGAUCAUUAUUGAACAAACUUGGUGGGUUGUAGCUGGCUUCUAGGAGCAUGUGCACGCCCAUCAUUACUAUUCAUCCACCUGUGCACACUUUGUAGUCUCGGAAGGAUCAGAGUCUCGGAUGGGCUUUGCCUGUUCGGAUGUGGGGAAUGCUGCUUCAGCUCUCUUCAAAACGGUUGUGACCUCCUUCUGGGGCUAUGUGUCUUUCUCAUAAACCAUGUAGUAUGUUGCAGAAUGUAAUCAAUGGGCCUCCGUGCCUAUAACAACUUAAUACAACUUUCAGCAACGGAUCUCUUGGCUCUC
rnacentral:misc_RNA from 1 species